rnacentral:rRNA from 1 species
CCUACGGGAGGCAGCAGUGAGGAAUAUUGGGCAAUGGGCGAAAGCCUGACCCAGCCACGCCGCGUGUGUGAUGAAGGCCUUCGGGUCGUAAAGCACUGUGGGGAGAGACGAACAUACGCUUGAGGAAAUGCUUGCGUACUGACGGUACCUCCUUAGCAAGCACCGGCUAACUCUGUGCCAGCAGCCGCGGUAAUACAGAGGGUGCAAACGUUGCUCGGAUUUACUGGGCGUAAAGCGCGUGUAGGCGGACUCGCAAGUCGGUUGUGAAAUCCCUGGGCUCAACCUAGGAACUGCAUCCGAAACUGCUUGUCUUGAGUAAUGGAGAGGGUGGCGGAAUUCCCGGUGUAGAGGUGAAAUUCGUAGAUAUCGGGAGGAACAUCAGUGGCGAAGGCGGCCACCUGGACAUUUACUGACGCUGAGACACGAAAGCGUGGGGAGCAAACAGGAUUAGAUACCCUGGUAGUCCACGCCGUAAACGAUGAGAACUAGGUGCAGCGGAUAUUGACCUCUGCUGUGCCGUAGCUAACGCGUUAAGUUCUCCGCCUGGGGAGUACGGCCGCAAGGCUAAAACUCAAAGGAAUUGAC